GGGAUUCUUGAAAGAAAUCGAUUUUUAUUUACCUUCAACGCGUUGCUUCGUAGAAUACAGGAAAAACCAAGAUACCUUCGGAGGAAUUUCUUAUUUCUGAUAUUUCACUACUUCGUAUAAAAGACUAAAAAUGUGGCACGAUUUAUACUGACAUAAUCUUUAAGUGGAAUUUUUAAACGGUCUUACAUAUGAACGUUUUAUAGGAGAAAUAACAUAGAAAUGUAUGCGAGGGAGCUAUAUGAAAGCAACAAAUAAAUGUUCAUUAAAAAACACAGUGAUGAAGAUGUUUUGCAGGGAGGCUUUUGUACGACGUCGUGUACCUUUAAAAUUGAAGAAAGGUAAUAAAGUAAAUUACUCGAUUGAAGCUUGAAUGGCCACGUGCGUUGCGAAGGGGGAAAAUUUUAUCUUCGUUCCUCAAAAGCAAGAAGCAAAGGAUUUCGUGUUAUAAAACUCACCGGAAGUGGCCACUAUCGCGUACGUAGAUUUAUACUGUGGGCUGACAAGGGGUGAAUUGAAUUGUUCCAUUGUCAAAGACUCGUGCAUGCUUCCGUCCUCUGGCAUGUCCGGCGAUACGUGAUUGGCAGUCUCUGUCAGCAUUCCACCGGGAGUUAAAUUUAGUAGGAGUCCCUGUAAAACGUUCGAAUUGUUUGUAUCGAUCGAAAGUAUACAGAAAAGCCUGCCAUAUUAACCAAAUAUAAUCUCUACAUCGCGUACAAUUAUAUUCGUUAAUGGACUACUUUUCUGUUUCUCCUUUCGAACGAAACGCGCUCGUGUUGACUGGUAUAUACUACAGAUGACAAAGUUUGGGGACUUUUAAUGACAAAUUAAAAUCCAUCUUAUCGUUCUGGAAAA